rnacentral:misc_RNA from 1 species
GAUGAAGAACGCAGCAAAAUGCGAUAAGUAAUGUGAAUUGCAGAAUUCAGUGAAUCAUCGAAUCUUUGAACGCACAUUGCGCCCGCUAGUAUUCUGGCGGGCAUGCCUGUUCGAGCGUCAUUUCAACCAUCAAGCCCUGUUUAGGCUUGUGUUGGGGCCCUGCGGCUGCCGCAGCCCCCUAAAUGCAGUGGCGGGCUCGUUGUCACUCCGAGCGCAGUAGCGUAUCUCGCUCUGGGCGUGGCGGCGGGUGCUAGCCGUGAAACACCCACUAAGGUUGACCUCGGAUCAGGUAGGAAUACCCGCUGAACUUAAGCAUAUCAAUAAGCGGAGGA